UACGUAGGGGGCGAGCGUUGUCCGGAUUUAUUGGGCGUAAAGAGCUCGUAAGCGGCUUGGCAAGUCGGGUGUGAAACCUCCAGGCUCAACCUGGAGACGCCACUCGAUACUGCCAUGGCUAGAGUCCGGUAGGGGACCACGGAAUUCCUGGUGUAGCGGUGAAAUGCGCAGAUAUCAGGAGGAACACCGGUGGCGAAGGCGGUGGUCUGGGCCGGCACUGACGCUGAGGAGCGAAAGCGUGGGUAGCAAACAGG
rnacentral:rRNA from 1 species